GAACGCUAGCUACAGGCUUAACACAUGCAAGUCGAGGGGCAUCAGGAAGAAAGCUUGCUUUCUUUGCUGGCGACCGGCGCACGGGUGAGUAACACGUAUCCAACCUGCCCUUUACUCGGGGAUAGCCUUUCGAAAGAAAGAUUAAUACCCGAUAGUAUAAUGAUUCCGCAUGGUUUCAUUAUUAAAGGAUUCCGGUAAAGGAUGGGGAUGCGUUCCAUUAGGUUGUUGGUGAGGUAACGGCUCACCAAGCCUUCGAUGGAUAGGGGUUCUGAGAGGAAGGUCCCCCACACUGGAACUGAGACACGGUCCAAACUCCUACGGGAGGCAGCAGUGAGGAAUAUUGGUCAAUGGGCGCUAGCCUGAACCAGCCAAGUAGCGUGAAGGAUGAAGGCUCUAUGGGUCGUAAACUUCUUUUAUAUAAGAAUAAAGUGCAGUAUGUAUACUGUUUUGUAUGUAUUAUAUGAAUAAGGAUCGGCUAACUCCGUGCCAGCAGCCGCGGUAAUACGGAGGAUCCGAGCGUUAUCCGGAUUUAUUGGGUUUAAAGGGAGCGUAGGUGGACUGGUAAGUCAGUUGUGAAAGUUUGCGACUCAACCGUAAAAUUGCAGUUGAUACUGUCAGUCUUGAGUACAGUAGAGGUGGGCGGAAUUCGUGGUGUAGCAGUGAAAUGCUUAGAUAUCACGAAGAACUCCGAUUGCGAAGGCAGCUCACUGGACUGCAACUGACACUGAUGCUCGAAAGUGUGGGUAUCAAACAGGAUUAGAUACCCUGGUAGUCCACACAGUAAACGAUGAAUACUCGCUGUUUGCGAUAUACAGUAAGCGGCCAAGCGAAAGCAUUAAGUAUUCCACCUGGGGAGUACGCCGGCAACGGUGAAACUCAAAGGAAUUGACGGGGGCCCGCACAAGCGGAGGAACAUGUGGUUUAAUUCGAUGAUACGCGAGGAACCUUACCCGGGCUUAAAUUGCAGUGGAAUGAUGUGGAAACAUGUCAGUGAGCAAUCACCGCUGUGGAGGUGCUGCAUGGUUGUCGUCAGCUCGUGCCGUGAGGUGUCGGCUUAAGUGCCAUAACGAGCGCAACCCUUAUCUUUAGUUACUAACAGGUUAUGCUGAGGACUCUAGAGAGACUGCCGUCGUAAGAUGUGAGGAAGGUGGGGAUGACGUCAAAUCAGCACGGCCCUUACGUCCGGGGCUACACACGUGUUACAAUGGGGGGUACAGAAGGCAGCUAGCGGGUGACCGUAUGCUAAUCCCAAAAGCCUCUCUCAGUUCGGAUCGAAGUCUGCAACCCGACUUCGUGAAGCUGGAUUCGCUAGUAAUCGCGCAUCAGCCACGGCGCGGUGAAUACGUUCCCGGGCCUUGUACACACCGCCCGUCAAGCCAUGGGAGCCGGGGGUACCUGAAGUACGUAACCGCAAGGAUCGUCCUAGGGUAAAACUGGUGACUGGGGCUAAG
rnacentral:rRNA from 1 species